CCAGACGAUUCUAAAGGUGUCGUACCGCAUCCAUCGCAUGAGACAAUUGCUGCAGGAGAUUGUCUGAGUUAGCGAAUCAACUUUGUACAACAUUGUCAGAUAAAUAGCAACGAUGGCAUCGACUUGGUUUCUUGCUGUGCUUGUGCUCACCAUACUUUGCCAAUUUUGUUCCUGUCACCCUAUCAGCGAGGGGCCUACCCGUGUUGGACACUUACUUUCUUCAGCACCAUGCAGCCCCAAGGCAGGAGGGAUGGAAGACGGAGGAAUCCCUGAUAGCAGCAUAACGGCAUCGUCCGUCGUUAAUAGUGGCCAUCUCCCAAGCAC